rnacentral:rRNA from 1 species
CCGGACCAAAGCGGGCUCCGGCUCGCACCUGAAGAGAGGCCCAAGUGAGAUUAGCUAGUUGGUAAGGUAAAGGCUUACCAAGGCGACGAUCUCUAGCUGUUCUGAGAGGAAGAUCAGCCACACUGGGACUGAGACACGGCCCAGACUCCUACGGGAGGCAGCAGUGGGGAAUAUUGCACAAUGGGGGAAACCCUGAUGCAGCCAUGCCGCGUGUGUGAAGAAGGCCUUCGGGUUGUAAAGCACUUUCAGUUGUGAGGAAAAGUUGGUAGUUAAUACCUGCCAGCUGUGACGUUAACAACAGAAGAAGCACCGGCUAACUCCGUGCCAGCAGCCGCGGUAAUACGGAGGGUGCGAGCGUUAAUCGGAAUUACUGGGCGUAAAGCGCACGCAGGCGGU